rnacentral:rRNA from 1 species
UUUGGUUCGGUCUGUUGCCGCCGCUGCUGGUUCUGAUGGUGAGGCGUCUCUUAAGCAGGAGGGAGGAGGAGCAGAAGAAGGAGGAGGAGGUGAGGGGUGAACGCGCCGUCCGUCCCGGUCCAGAUCCCCGUAGGUAGGGGGGAACGUGGAGGAGGAGGAGGAGCAAGGAGUGGAGUGAUCCACCACUCUCACUCUCUGCUGUGGUCGGCAGGGCAGGUCCUGUAGGUAGGGAGGGAGGGAGGGUCCAGGGUUGGGUCGAAACUGGCCCGACGAGGUAAGGGAAAGGGAAGCGGCAGUCAGGUGAGUCGGUAGGGGAGGAGCCGAAGGCGCACGCACGCGGAGAGUAGUGGGAGGAGCGGGGGAAAGGGGCAGCGAAGGAAGGAAAGGACGGGCGUAGCCUGGGUGCCGGGGCUCCGGAGGACGAGGGCGACGACGGCCCCAAAGGGGAGCAGCGCUGACGGGCCUGCAGCGGUCGUUGGCGUGGGUAGCGUGGGGUUUCGUCGUCGUCGUCGCCGCUACUCCACGGACGGCAAGGACGUGCCCCUGCGGUUCAGUUCCCUGCUGCUGGCCGCGUGCCCGGGGUCGCCGCGGUACAGCCGGAGCCACGCGAGGAAGUCGUGGCUCAGGUGCCUCGCGCCGCUGGGCGCGAGGCCGAGGCUGGAGUUGAGGUAGUUGCGGAGGCUGUACUCGCGGCUCAGGUAGGCGGCCUGCGUCAUGGGCUCGAAGUGGCUGGCGGGGCGGUUGGAGGCCCAGAAGUGGAAGGGGCUCGAGUUCCGGCGGUGGGCGUUGAAGUCGGCGAGGGAGUACCAGCCGCUCCCGCCGAAGCCGACGCAGAUGGCCCCGCAGUAGUUCCCGAGGCUGCUGCUGGGGCGGCUCGCGCAGCUCUAGCGGCAGUUCGUCGACUUAGCGUUCCCUCAGGUCCCCGUCUUCCUUACCAAUUGUCUUUACUUGCACGAACCCUAACAUCUCGUGGGUUUGGACCAGUUUGAUUAUCCAAUGACGCGCCUACUGCUACUCGCCCCUUACGUCGCCGAAGACCAUAUGCUUAUGUACGGGUUGCCUUCGCACCUACUGGUGAACCGUUCAUCCAGUUGAAGAUGAGAUAGUACCGGCUACUCUAACUUUCAUCGAGAACUACGACGGGCGCCCGAGUUCAUAGACGUACUCCUCUACCUGAAAGUCCAAUAAAAGGCUCUGGACUUUUGUAGAUUGUAAGAUAAUCUACUCUUGACCUUACGUUUCAAUAGCCUGAAGCCUAACCGAUCCGUACCUGGUGUUCUUCCCGAUAGGGUACAGAGGUGUCGCUAGCAACCUUGAGAUCCUAUGCGGCGCGGGCUUAUGUACGUUUGGCCCGCGGAGUGGCGUUUUUCGCUGUAUACCCCGAUGCCGCACGAGGAGAUGCUCGAGUAGUGGCCGGCCGCAGGGUAGCUAGCCUUGGCGGGUUUCCCGCUCGUCUUCGAGGACCUGACCCACUUUGGCAUGUAGAGCCUGCAGUUCGCCAAGGGGUAGUAGCAGCUGGGCGCAGAACUCCCGGUGAUGCUGGAGUUCAGGUACUGUUUCGACCGGCCGCACCGUUUGGCGACGGAGGACGCCGAUGGCUUCUGCGCGGGCUUCUACUCGCUCCACAUACUUUACCAGGUCUUCUAGCAGCUGUCGCAGCUCCAGCCGGGGGGCCUCGGAGGGGACGUGAUGGUACCGAGCCACAGGCCUGGCCCGCGCUUCGCCUGGUUCUUUCCCAGCGACUUCUCCUCCGAGGUCCUCAAGUUCAAGCCCACGGCGGUCUAGCACACCGCCCCGACCUUUGGACUCUAGCAUUUCUGGACGACUUUACCUACGGUGGGAGGAGGACGGACACUGACCUUACUAAGUCUAAGUUCGUUCUACACUGGACUUGGAUCACCUAAAGACGGGUGGUUAGCCUCCUACGCGGAAUAGCGCUCGAGCUACGCCUUACUAGGCUUAUAGACCACGACCCACCAUGUCCAUGUAAGGACGGCCGGUAGGAAAAACGAGUCUAUUCUGGGUCUGGGCCUACGAGUGUAGUCUUUCUCUGGGGGAACACGUUGACCCUCUUAAAGAACCACGAUCGUGUAAGUAUCUCCUCCGAUGUUCAGUCGGGCUACAAAGCUAGCCUGACAGGUGUACCAACUAGUAAACAAUGUUCUCUUAUCUACUACUGGUUUUAGAGGUGGCGAUUAUUAGGCCGUUUCCAGUACGGCCACCGCUUAAAAGCGGCCUGUUCUUUUCUCAAAGACGACAAGGGGACAUCGGCAUCGGACAUCUAACACGACAACCGACCUCCGUCUCUUUAAGACAAUGAAAGACGUGUCACUUGUGAAAGGUAAGGUAAGAUAAGGUAGUACUGUUGUAGAGGAAGGAGGGGUUGAAUUGAAAAGAGGCCACUGUACCACGUAUACCCACCUCGUCUUAACCCCCGUCUAGAGGGACACCACCCGUCGUUGGCACCCCGAGGAAAGCCGA